CCUACGGGUGGCAGCAGUGGGGGAUAUUGCACAAUGGGCGAAACCCUGAUGCAGCGACGCCGCGUGGGCGAAGAAGUAUUUCGGUAUGUAAAGCUCUAUUAGCAGGGAAGAAGAAAUGACGGUACCUGAGGAAGAAGCACCGGCUAAAUACGUGCCAGCAGCCGCGGUAAUACGUAUGGUGCAAGCGUUGUCCGGAUUUACUGGGGGUAAAGGGAGCGCAGGCGUCACGGCAAGUCUGAUGUGAAAGCCCGCGGCCCAACCGCGGAACUGCAUUGGAAACUGCCGGUCUGGAGUGCCGGAGAGGUAGGCGGAAUUCCUGGUGUAGCGGUGAAAUGCGUAGAUAUUAGGAAGAACACCAGUGGCGAAGGCGGCCUACUGGACGGUAACUGACGCUGAGGCGCGAAAGCGUGGGGAGCAAACAGGAUUAGAUACCCGGGUAGUC
rnacentral:rRNA from 1 species